rnacentral:lncRNA from 1 species
AGAAGUGCCAUUGCAAAUAGGAUACCCGGACGGGCUAUUGAACAUGUCAGUGCUUGAAACUCGCUACCAAUACGUACCAUUCUUUCCUUGGAAUAUUUCAUUCACAGAAGCCUUGUACCACAUUCAAGAAAACUUAUACAGAAUGCGAUUGCGGAAGCUUAAGUAUCCAUUCGAGGGCGAUUUGGGUUGGGACCACAGUCCAAGAGAUGGUCGCCCAUUACACCACAAGUAUGGGUGGAA